rnacentral:lncRNA from 1 species
AACUCCCAACUUGAUUCAUCAAUCUCCUGAGGGCAUGCGUCUGCACUCCUUCCUACAUGGUUUGGAGUUGUUCUCACAAAGGCUCAAAUUUAAUGAAGGUCAAUUCAAGAAGGCAGAACAACAGUAUAGAAGCGGCGGAGAUGAUUAAGGCUUUCAUGCAUGUGCAGCCUGGAAGUCAAGUCGGUAUCUAUCUUAUUAAAACAGAAACAUUACAACUUCUUCUAGGUGGAUUUUUAAGUUGGACAUCACAUUAUUAUUCUUAGCCUAACCAUACAUUUAAAUAUUUCCUUUAUCGGUUCAAUAUAGUCCAUUUAACUCCAUCAUCUAAUAUCUAUUUAUAUCCACCGUAUCAAACUCCACCAUAAAAAUAUACAUCUGUUACCUCUAAUGUGAAACGUUAACGUAUAUAUAUAUAUCAAAGUUACACUAUAUAAAAAACCCUAUCUUUACACUCUCACAUUUUCAUAC